GACGAACGCUGGCGGCGUGCUUAACACAUGCAAGUCGAACGAUGAAGCCGGAGCUUGCUCCGGUGGAUUAGUGGCGAACGGGUGAGUAACACGUGAGCAAUCUGCCCUUGACUCUGGGAUAACUGCGGGAAACUGUAGCUAAUACCGGAUACGACACCCUGGGGCAUCCCAGGGUGUGGAAAGAAUUUCGGUCAAGGAUGAGCUCGCGGCCUAUCAGCUAGUUGGGGAGGUAAUGGCUCACCAAGGCGACGACGGGUAGCCGGCCUGAGAGGGUGACCGGCCACACUGGAACUGAGACACGGUCCAGACUCCUACGGGAGGCAGCAGUGGGGAAUAUUGCACAAUGGGCGAAAGCCUGAUGCAGCAACGCCGCGUGAGGGAUGAAGGCCUUCGGGUUGUAAACCUCUUUUAGCAGGGAAGAAGCGAAAGUGACGGUACCUGCAGAAAAAGCACCGGCUAACUACGUGCCAGCAGCCGCGGUAA
rnacentral:rRNA from 1 species